UUCUCUUAUUUUAGAAGUUACAGGGGGGGGGACACACAUUUUACCACUUUGGAAGUGUCUCUCGCGCAAACUAUUCAGUUUAGAAAAAAAUGAUAUUAGAAACCUCAAUAUCAUUUUUGAAGACCUAUCCAUAGAUACCCCACACACAUUUUACCACUUUGGAAGUGUCUCUCGCGCAAACUAUUCAGUUUAGAAAAAAAUGAUAUUAGAAAUUACAAUAUCAUUUUUGAAGACCUAUCCAUAGAUACCCCACACGUAUGGGUUUGAUGAAAAAAAACUUUGAGUUUCAGAUUUAUGACGUAUUAAAAAAAAACUACUAACUAGAUCUCGUUCAAACCAAUUUUCGGUGGAAGUUUGCAUGGUAAUGUACAC